GACGAACCGAGCGAACGUUAUUCGGAAUCACUGGGCUUAAAGGGCGCGUAGGCGGGCCAUCAAGUCAGGGGUGAAAGCCCCCAGCUCAACUGGGGAAGUGCCUUUGAUACUGGUGGUCUCGAGGGGAUAGGGGCAUGCGGAACUUCCGGUGGAGCGGUGAAAUGCGUAGAUAUCGGAAGGAACACCGGUGGCGAAAGCGGCGUGCUGGAUCCCUUCUGACGCUGAGGCGCGAAAGCCAGGGGAAGCGGAA
rnacentral:rRNA from 1 species